GUCAAACCAGUAGAUCUGGUGUCGGAUCUACUGAAAUAGUGUCGGAUCUACUGAGAUAGUGUCGGAUCUUGAAGCCACCGGGAAAGAAGCCAUAGAAAUCGAUGUGGUGUCGGAUCUACUGAGAUAGUGUCGGAUCUUGAAGCCACCGGGAAAGAAGCCAUAGAAAUCGAUGUUGUGUCGGAUCUGGUGUCGGAUCUGGUGUCGUCAACGAUGGAGGAGCGGUGGAGGAGCGGUG